rnacentral:rRNA from 1 species
GUUGAGCGGAGAUAUAUGGAGCUUGCUUUAUAUAACUUAGCAGCGAACGGGUGAGUAACACGUAGAUAAUCUAUCCUAUACUGGGGGAUAGCCCGAUGAAAGUUGGAUUAAUACCGCAUAUAGCUAUAUAGUUGCAUGAUUAUGUAGUGAAAGAUUUAUUGGUAUAGGAGGAGUCUGCGGCACAUUAGCUAGUAGGUGAGGUAAAGGCUUACCUAGGCGACGAUGUGUAGCCGGUCUGAGAGGAUGAACGGCCACAAUGGAACUGAGACACGGUCCAUACUCCUACGGGAGGCAGCAGUGGGGAAUAUUGCACAAUGGGGGAAACCCUGAUGCAGCAACGCCGCGUGAGUGAAGAAGGUUUUCGGAUUGUAAAGCUCUGUUAGCAGGGAAGAGGAAGGACGGUACCUGCAGAGGAAGCCACGGCUAACUACGUGCCAGCAGCCGCGGUAAUACGUAGGUGGCAAGCGUUGUUCGGAAUAACUGGGCGUAAAGGAUGCGUAGGCGGUUAAACAAGUUAUAUGUUAAAUAUAUAGGCUUAACCUGUAGAAAGCAUAUAAAACUGUUUAACUAGAGUGCAGGAGAGGUAAGUGGAAUUCCUAGUGUAGCGGUGAAAUGCGUAGAGAUUAGGAAGAACACCAGUGGCGAAGGCGACUUACUGGACUGUAACUGACGCUGAGGCAUGAGAGCAUGGGGAGCAAACAGGAUUAGAUACCCUGGUAGUCCAUGCUGUAAACGAUGGGUACUAGGUGUGGGUUGUGAAUAACAAUUCGUGCCGUCGCAAACG